rnacentral:rRNA from 1 species
AUUGAACGCUGGCGGCAUGCCUAACACAUGCAAGUCGAACGAGUGGCGGACGGGUGAGUAAUGUCUGGGAAACUGCCUGAUGGCGGGGGAUAACUACUGGAAACGGUAGCUAAUACCGCAUACCAUCAGAUGUGCCCAGAUGGGAUUAGCUGGUUGGUGGGGUACCGGCUCACCAAGGCGACGAGCCCUAGCUGGUCGGAGAUGAUGACGAGCAACACUGGAAGUGAGACACGGUCCAGACUGCUACGGGAGGCAGCAGUGGGGAAUAUGGGACAAUGGGCGAAAGCCUGAUGCAGCCAUGCCGCGUGUAUGAAGAAGGCCUUCGGGUUGUAAAGUACUUUCAGCGGGGAGGCGUUACCCGCAGAAGAAGCACCGGCUAACUCCGUGCCAGCAGCCGCGGUAAUAC